AAGUCGUAACAAGGUUUCCGUAGGUGAGUAAAUACACAUUCCCCUGACUCCCUUGUAAGUGUUUAUGCUAACUAAAUUUCCAGGUGAACCUGCGGAAGGAUCAUUACCGAGUUAGGGUCUUUGGCCCGACCUCCAACCCAGUGUUAAAUGUUACUGUGUUGCUUUGGCGGACCUGCCGUUAGGCUGCUGGAGACUUAAUUGCCUCUGGUCAGUGUCCGCCAAUAGGCCACUCCAAAUUCUUUGAAUUGUGUCGUGACUGAAUCAUAAAUAAUCGUUAAAACUUUCAACAACGGAUCUCUUGGUUCUG
rnacentral:misc_RNA from 1 species